UACCUGUCUCGGCUAAUGCCU
rnacentral:siRNA from 1 species